rnacentral:rRNA from 1 species
AUACGGAGGGUGCAAGCGUUACUCGGAAUCACUGGGCGUAAAGCGCGCGCAGGCGGCUUGAUAAGUUGGAUGUGAAAGCCUACGGCUCAACCGUAGAACUGCAUCCAAAACUGUCAGGCUAGAGUGUGGGAGAGGAAGAUGGAAUUAGUUGUGUAGGGGUAAAAUCCGUAGAGAUAACUAGGAAUACCAAAAGCGAAGGCAAUCUUCUGGAACACUACUGACGCUGAGGCGCGAAGGCGUGGGGAGCAGACAGGAUUAGAUACCCCUGUAGUCC